rnacentral:rRNA from 1 species
AUACGUAGGGGGCAAGCGUUAUCCGGAUUUACUGGGUGUAAAGGGAGCGUAGACGGCGAUGCAAGUCUGAAGUGAAAACCCGGGGCUCAACCCCGCGGACUGCUUUGGAAACUGUGUUGCUGGAGUGCGGGAGAGGUGAGUGGAAUUCCUAGUGUAGCGGUGAAAUGCGUAGAUAUUAGGAGGAACACCAGUGGCGAAGGGGGCUCACUGGACUGUAACUGACGUUGAGGCUCGAAAGCGUGGGGAGCAAACAGAAUUAGAUCCCCUGGUAGUCCACGCCGUAAACGAUGAAUGCUAGGUGUCGGGGGGCAAAGCCCUUCGGUGCCGCCGCUAACGCAUUAAGCAUUCCACCUGGGGAGUACGUUCGCAAGAAUGAAACUCAAAUGAAUUGACGGGG